rnacentral:misc_RNA from 1 species
GCUUAAUAUAUAAAGACUACAACAACGAGAGAAUCAGACAUUUCUAAUCGGCUCCAUAAAUAUUAUCGAUAUUCUCGAAAAAUUUUACAAUAACUUAGGCUGCAAUUGGAUUUUUCCGCGGCCUGCCCCUCUUCUUACCUGUGCCAGUGCCACGUACUAUCGGAGCCCUAGCAACGGGAGGAGCAUCCACCACCGCUCCCUCUCUACCAGUCG